rnacentral:rRNA from 1 species
GACGAACGCUGGCGGCGUGCCUAAUACAUGCAAGUCGAACGAGAGCGACCGGUGCUUGCCCUGGUCAAUCUAGUGGCGAACGGGUGAGUAACACGUGGGUAACCUGCCCAUCAGAGGGGGAUAACAUUCGGAAACGGAUGCUAAAACCGCAUAGGUCUUCGAACCGCAUGGUUUGAAGAGGAAAAGAGGCGCAAGCUUCUGCUGAUGGAUGGACCCGCGGUGCAUUAGCUAGUUGGUGAGGUAACGGCUCACCAAGGCCGUGAUGCAUAGCCGACCUGAGAGGGUGAUCGGCCACAUUGGGACUGAGACACGGCCCAGACUCCUACGGGAGGCAGCAGUAGGGAAUCUUCCGCAAUGGACGCAAGUCUGACGGAGCAACGCCGCGUGAGUGAAGAAGGUUUUCGGAUCGUAAAACUCUGUUGUUAGAGAAGAACAAGUGCUAGAGUAACUGUUAGCGCCUUGACGGUAUCUAACCAGAAAGCCACGGCUAACUACGUG